rnacentral:rRNA from 1 species
GGACCUUCGGGCCUUGCGCUAUCAGAUGAGCCUAGGUCGGAUUAGCUAGUUGGUGGGGUAAUGGCUCACCAAGGCGACGAUCCGUAACUGGUCUGAGAGGAUGAUCAGUCACACUGGAACUGAGACACGGUCCAGACUCCUACGGGAGGCAGCAGUGGGGAAUAUUGGACAAUGGGCGAAAGCCUGAUCCAGCCAUGCCGCGUGUGUGAAGAAGGUCUUCGGAUUGUAAAGCACUUUAAGUUGGGAGGAAGGGCAGUAAGCUAAUACCUUGCUGUUUUGACGUUACCGACAGAAUAAGCACCGGCUAACUCUGUGCCAGCAGCCGCGGUAAUACAGAGGGUGCAAGCGUUAAUCGGAAUUACUGGGCGUAAAGCGCGCGUAGGUGGUUUGUUAAGUUGGAUGUGAAAGCCCCGGGCUCAACCUGGGAACUGCAUCCAAAACUGGCAAGCUAGAGUACGGUAGAGGGUGGUGGAAUUUCCUGUGUAGCGGUGAAAUGCGUAGAUAUAGGAAGGAGCACCAGUGGCGAAAAGCGACCACCUGGACUGAUACUGACACUGACGUGCGAAAGCGUGGGGGAUCCAAACACGAUUAGAUACACUGGUAGUCCGACGCCGUUAGACGAUGUCUACUAGGCGUUGGGAAUCGCGUCGAUAUUUUACUGGCUGCAGCUAACGCAUUAAACUUUGACUGACUGGCGGAGUACUGCCGCAAAGGGUAGGACUCAUAUGAUUGAUCGCGGGCGCUCGACAAGCCAGGUUGGAAGCCAUGUUGCGGUUUGUAACGUUCCGAGGC